AGUUUGAUCCUGGCUCGAAUGAACGCUGGCGGCAGGCCUAACACAUGCAAGUCGAACGGAGUUAUAUUGUAGCUUGCUAUGGUAUAACUUAGUGGCAGACGGGUGAGUAAUGUAUAGGAAUCUACCUAGUAGUACGGAAUAAUUGUUGGAAACGGCAACUAAUACCGUAUACGCCCUACGGGGGAAAAAUUUAUUGCUAUUAGAUGAGCCUAUAUUAGAUUAGCUAGUUGGUGGAGUAAUAGCCUACCAAGGCAAUGAUCUAUAGCUGAUCUGAGAGGAUGAUCAGCCACACUGGAACUGAGAUACGGUCCAGACUCCUACGGGAGGCAGCAGUGGGGAAUAUUGGACAAUGGGCGAAAGCCUGAUCCAGCCAUGCCGCAUGAGUGAAGAAGGCCUUUGGGUUGUAAAGCUCUUUUAGUGAGGAAGAUAAUGACGGUACUCACAGAAGAAGUCCUGGCUAACUCCGUGCCAGCAGCCGCGGUAAUACGGAGAGGGCUAGCGUUAUUCGGAAUUAUUGGGCGUAAAGGGCGCGUAGGCGGAUUAGUAAGUUAAAAGUGAAAUCCCAAGGCUCAACCUUGGAAUUGCUUUUAAAACUGCUAAUCUAGAGAUUGAAAGAGGAUAGAGGAAUUCCUAGUGUAGAGGUGAAAUUCGUAAAUAUUAGGAGGAACACCAGUGGCGAAGGCGUCUAUCUGGUUCAAAUCUGACGCUGAGGCGCGAAGGCGUGGGGAGCAAACAGGAUUAGAUACCCUGGUAGUCCACGCUGUAAACGAUGAAUGUUAAAUAUGGGAAGUUUUACUUUCUGUAUUACAGCUAACGCGUUAAACAUUCCGCCUGGGGACUACGGUCGCAAGAUUAAAACUCAAAGGAAUUGACGGGGACCCGCACAAGCGGUGGAGCAUGUGGUUU
rnacentral:rRNA from 1 species